rnacentral:rRNA from 1 species
AACGAACGCUGGCGGCAGGCUUAACACAUGCAAGUCGAACGCACCUUUCGGGGUGAGUGGCAGACGGGUGAGUAACGCGUGGGAAUCUACCCUUCUCUACGGGAUAGCUCCGGGAAACUGGAAUUAAUACCGUAUACGUCCUGAGGGAGAAAGAUUUAUCGGGGAAGGAUGAGCCCGCGUUGGAUUAGCUAGUUGGUGGGGUAAAGGCCUACCAAGGCGACGAUCCAUAGCUGGUCUAAGAGGAUGAUCAGCCACAUUGGGACUGAGACACGGCCCAAACUCCUACGGGAGGCAGCAGUGGGGAAUAUUGGACAAUGGGCGCAAGCCUGAUCCGGCCAUGCCGCGUGAGUGAUGAAGGCCCUAGGGUUGUAAAGCUCUUUCAGUGGGGACGAUAAUGACGGUACCCACAGAAGAAGCCCCGGCUAACUUCGUG